rnacentral:tmRNA from 1 species
GGGGAUGUAAAGGUUUCGACGGGGAGAACGACCCCGGAUAAGCGAGCGGCGGUGCGGAACCGCCAUAAAAUCCGUAAACUUAAAAAUAACUGAAGCCCGUCCCUGCGCGGAGCACCUCGGCCGCGUAAGGGGCGUCGAUCAGAGGUAAAUGUGAACAGGGAUCAGCUCCGCUCCCCGUCACACAUCAGGAGCUGCCGAACCGUAUAGCCUGUCGUUAGGCGAUACGGCGGGGGAGACUUAAAAUAGCGACUGCGCUCGGAGAAAAUCCCGGCGAAUUCUUUUCGGACACGGGUUCGAUUCCCGUCAUCUCCACCA